CCGGAAGGGAACCGACGGCCAGUGCCAC
rnacentral:sRNA from 1 species